CCGAGUGAGAAUACGCCUAAUAUGAAUUAUCUGAGGAUGACAAUUUAUAGAUGAAGCACCAGAAACUGACUUGCAGUCAGCGCUCAGGAGACACAUCUCAUUCCGGUGGUGAGCGAGGUCCAGCAGACAGCCCUGGCAACUUAAACACCGGCGUGCACAGCCGAGCGCGUUUCUAAUGUAAGACACUGUUAAAAAUAAAUUGUGCUGUUUCUGUGGAGAAGACAGCCUGCAAAGAGGAGCUUUCCGGCAGUGCCUACAUACAAGAGCGACAUCAUAGAUUUCCUGCGCUAUCGCAGCGAAGAGAGGGGGAGGAGGAGAGCGCUGAUUCACGGCUUGAAUUGAGGAAGGAGAGCCGUGCGGACGGGCUCUGGAGAUCCAUCUCAUAUACUAAAAUACCGACCCCCCCCCCCGCGCGCCUCCUCCUCCCUCGUCAUUGACAGCUUUGCGACCCGGUCAGUCCGUCAGACAGGGAGGAUCUGUGGAGGAGGGCGCCAAGGCAGGAGAGGACGAAAGGCGAUCACCUCUGGCCGGUUUGAUCCAAUCGCCAACACCGUGUAGGUUGGGGACCUGCCUCUCCCUACAUGAGGACGACACAGUGGCUGCACCGGGGGAUUUUGGACCGAGGAGCACGUUUGACCCAAGAGAUCCAAACAGCGAAAUUAUUCUGAGACUGUUGGCAGGCUGAUCUGAACGGCAAAACAAUAAUAAAGGGGUUGGACAGGAGCUAUUUCGCAGUCUCUACAUAAACUCCCCGGAAUACAAAUCCAGGUGGUGGGUGGAGAAAAAGCACAGCCCAGUGCUGGAUCCCAGAGGGACUGUCAGUGUGGUAAGGACCCUUGAGACGAAGGAGGGUGCAUGGAGGGUUCAAGGCCUGUAAAGCCAGGGUCGUCAGCCUUGCUUUGGUUGGGGCUGGUCUCUGUGGCUGUAGCCUUCCUUUGUACAGAGGCCCGGACCACUCCGAGCCCUCUACUUAGCCCCAGCAAUGCAACCUGCACAGGAAACUCCAAGUGUCAUGCAGGGAUUAUCCUGCCCAUCUGGUAUCCCGAGGAUCCCUCCAUGGGAGACAAGAUCGCACGGGUCAUUGUGUAUUUUGUGGCAAUGAUCUACAUGUUUCUUGGAGUGUCCAUCAUUGCAGACCGAUUCAUGGCAGCCAUUGAGGUCAUCACCUCCCAGGAGAAGGAAAUUGUCAUCAAAAAGCCGAAUGGCGAAACAACCACCACCACGAUCCGGGUGUGGAAUGAAACAGUCUCAAACCUCACCCUCAUGGCCUUGGGCUCAUCCGCCCCUGAGAUUCUGCUCUCUGUAAUUGAGGUUUGUGGUCAUGGAUUCAAAUCUGGUGAGCUCGGACCUGCCACAAUUGUUGGCAGUGCAGCCUUCAACAUGUUUGUCAUCAUUGGCCUCUGUGUGUCUGUCAUUCCCCAAGGAGAGGUACGCAAGGUCAAACACCUCAGAGUGUUCUUUGUCACUGCAGGCUGGAGCAUCUUUGCUUACAUCUGGCUCUACAUGAUUCUGGCUGUGUUUUCUCCUAAUGUAGUCCAGGUCUGGGAGGGUCUACUCACAUUGGCCUUCUUCCCGAUAUGUGUACUCCUUGCCUGGGUCGCCGACAGACGACUGCUCUUCUACAAGUUCAUGCACAAGAAGUAUCGCACAGAUAAGCACAGGGGUGUAAUCAUCGAGACGGAGACUGAGCGCUCCAAGGGGAUAGAGAUGGAUGGCAAGAUGGUCAACUCUCACUUCAUGGACGGAGGUGCGGCAAGCAACCUUAUUGGUUUGAUCGAGAGCAAAGAGGUGGACGAGUCCCGGCGUGAUAUGAUCCGCAUCUUGAAAGACCUGAAGCAGAAGCACCCAGAGAAAGAGUUGGAUCAGCUGGUCGAGAUGGCCAACUACUACGCUCUCUCGCACCAGCAAAAGAGCCGUGCCUUCUACCGGAUUCAAGCUACACGCAUGAUGACAGGCGCAGGAAAUAUCCUGAAGAAGCACGUCGCAGAGCAGGCGAAGAAGAGCAUUAGCGUGCAGGAGGUGCAUGUGGAGGAACCAGAAGAGUAUGUGUCUCGAAUUGCAUUUGAGCCUGCUGUCUAUCAGUGUCUCGAGAACUGUGGAGCCGCCAUUCUGACCAUCACCAGAAAGGGUGGCGACAUCAACAAGACGAUCUACGUGGAUUAUAAGACAGAGGAUGGCUCGGCUAACGCUGGGGCUGAUUACGAGUUCACAGAGGGUACAGUAGUGUUCAAACCAGGAGAGAUGUUCAAGGAAAUAAGCAUUGGCAUCAUAGAUGACGACAUCUUUGAGGAGGACGAGCACUUUUUUGUGCGGCUCAGUAAUCUGCGUGUCCUGGAGACUGAGGAUGAGGUGCUGUCCGCCAACAGUCUGCCAUACCCAAAGGCUAUUCUAGGUUCCCCCAGUGUUGCCACUGUGACCAUUCUGGAUGAUGAUCAUUCAGGCAUCUUCACCUUUGAGAGCAACUUAGUGCACGUAAGUGAGAGCAUUCGUAUUAUGGAAGUGAAAGUGCUAAGAACUUCUGGAGCAAGGGGGACAGUCAUUGUGCCUUAUCGCACCGUGGAUGGACUCGCCAAAGGAGGAGGGGAGGACUUUGAAGACACCUAUGGAGAGCUUGAGUUCAAAAAUGAUGAGACCUGCAAAGUUAUUCACGUGAAAAUUAUUGACGAUGAGGAGUAUGAGAAAAACAAGAACUUCUUCCUGGAGCUGGCCGAGCCUCGCAUGGUAGACAUGAGUCUGCAGAAAGAUGUACCAGACAGGAAGAUGACAUCAGACGAGGAGGAAGCCAGGCGCAUCGCAGAGAUGGGAAAACCAGUGCUGGGGGAACACUCCAAGCUGGAAGUCAUUAUUGAGGAGUCAUACGAGUUUAAGAGCACAGUGGACAAGCUGAUCAAGAAAACCAACCUGGCACUGGUGGUGGGAACAAACUCCUGGAGAGAACAGUUCAUGGAGGCCAUUACAGUCUCUGCAGGAGAUGAGGACGAAGAGGACACAGGGGAAGAACGGCUGCCGUCCUGUUUCGACUACGUCAUGCACUUCCUCACUGUCUUCUGGAAGGUCCUGUUUGCAUGCGUUCCUCCCACAGACUAUCUGAACGGCUGGGCCUGUUUCGUCGUCUCCAUCAUUAUCAUCGGCCUGCUCACGGCCGUCAUUGGUGACUUGGCGUCUCACUUCGGCUGCACCAUUGGCCUCAAAGACUCAGUCACUGCUGUGGUGUUUGUAGCACUUGGUACUUCUGUCCCAGACACCUUUGCCAGUAAGGUAGCAGCAGUCCAGGACACCUACGCAGACGCCUCUAUUGGGAAUGUGACCGGCAGCAAUGCUGUCAAUGUCUUCCUGGGAAUAGGCUUGGCCUGGUCAGUGGCAGCCAUCUACUGGCACAUGAAAGGGAAGCCGUUCGUGGUGGAAGCUGGCUCGCUGGCCUUCUCUGUCACUCUUUUCACCAUCUUCGCCUUCCUUGCCAUCUCGGUGCUGCUUUACCGGCGCCGAGCCCACAUCGGAGGAGAACUGGGCGGGCCCAGGGGACACAGACUGGCCACAUCAGCCUUUCUUUUCUGCCUCUGGUUCCUUUACAUCCUCUUCUCCAGUCUGGAGGCCUACUGUCAUAUAGAGGGCUUCUAAACAGAAAAGACCUCAGCGUGAGAGGAUACACACAUACAGGGGUUUAAAGUACAACUUCAGAGGUAAAAGAGUGAAUUCUCACUGCGGAAUUUGGGUCAGUCUUGUAUGGUAUGAAAGGACAGGAGAGGUAAACCCGGGGUUUUCCCAGACCUCCCUCCCUCUCCCUCUCUCUCUCCCUCAACCCCUUCUGUAAGGAUGCUUUGAGGUGUGUAUCCUGCCCUCUAGUGCCGACAGGCCUGUUCGCUCCGGCUAUAGGAAAGCCGUCCUGAGCCUGUGCGAGUGUGCUUACAGUUGGGAUUGGGUUACCACAGAGUCCAGAAGAUGCCGAUGCCAGGGUGGUCCUGCAUUCCACUGGAAGAGACUGAGGUCUUAUAUCUGGAGAGAGUUGAGUUAAUCAGAGUUUCCUAAGAAGCACUGCAGAGUUCUCAGAAAUCACACAAAGAUGAAGAGGAAGAGGAGCGACAGUGACAGUUCAUACUGGCAGAUGAAUCACCAUUCAAACAGGCGAGGAGGAAGAGGUGGACACUGCCCUGAACAUUACUUCCGUACUCUAUACGUAUCUAUAUAUAAUAUAUUUCCAUAUUUUCUGUAUAUUUUGAAUAUUUGUUUAAAUGUGGUCACCUUCUGCUCUAACAAUAGAGGAUUUCUGUGGCAAAGCGGGAGGGGAGGGGGGGUCAAACUAUAUACUGGAACGAUGUCUUCACAUUUCUAAGAGUUAUGUAUCUUGCCUAGGUAAAAGUACGACAUUGUAUUUUAUUUAUUUACUGAUAUCUUGGUCUCACUCGAGUUUUCACCUUUUCAAUCAGAAAUCUGAAAAAAGAAAAAAAACAUGUUGCUGCAGAGGUAAAUUCAGAGGUAUUUUUCUACUGUUCCUUCCAUGCACUUUGCUGUAUAGUUCUAUUUAUGGAGACUUCUACUUGUACUUGUGCAAAAGGCCAAUAUUGAAGGUGUCACUAUGGACUGAACAGAGUGCCUGUGGAGGGAGAGGCGUUUGCUGCAGCUGCCCACACCGACAAGCUCUUUGCUCAGUUGAAUAAUAAUAAGAGUUUCUUCCUAAAAUUCUGCAUAAGCAUUUUUAAAGCUGCAUUAAAAGAUUUUUGGCCACUUGGGGUCAGUAUAAAAAGCUGAAAUCACAACAUCUGCCAUGUUGUAACCUUAAAGAAAGCCAAAGUCCUGGUGCAUAAUAAUAACAUAGGCCUACUGUUGAGCUAGGUCUUGUAGUAAUUUGCAUUAUGACAAAUAUUAAUGUGAGAUUGAAUCAGGUUUUCUCACUGGAACAGCUCUUCUGUCACUCUGGCUCUAUAUAAAGUUGCUAUGGUGAAUGUGUUAGCAAACAAUUGCUUAUUUACACAUCCAGUAGAAACAGAGAAACAUAAGCAUUCAUUUGGAGAUGUUUCUGGCCACCUGGUGAAUGUAAUUCCAAUAGUCCCUCUCCUUUUAGCUCUGUUUAGUUCUCCUACAACUCCAGGGGGAAUAUCGUACUUUUUAGCUGCCACAUAUUGCACUUUUAUUUCACCCUAGAUGCUAACUUUGUUUGCUGUUUGGUGCUGGGCAGGAAUCAUACAGCGGAGUUAGCUAAAAUUGCUACUUAAUGGGGCAGGGGUGGUGGACUGG